GUCUAGGAUUUGAGAGCCCUGAAGAUGCUUCUUUUGUGGACAAGGGCACUACUGAAAGAGUGAGAGCUGCUGACGUUGCUGGUGCAAAGGGACAGCCCUGCACUGCCGCUCUGAGGGGCUCCUGGCAGGGCUGUGGGCACAGCCCCAGGGCAGCUCAGCCUUGAGUCACACAACUGGCCACGGAACCUCUGGUGCUUCCUCAGGGUUUUGCUCAGGUGCAGCUGCACAACCUCCUGCAGCAGCUCCUUCGCUGAGGGCAGCAGUGGUACCUCCUGAGCUGAUGCUGUUUGAGUUCCCCAUAAUGCUUCUCCUUGCCUGUUUCCUUUGAGUGGAACCUUCAUCCUGUGGCCGUUAAUGGGAAGCUUACAGAGAAGAAACCAUGUUUUGGACACGCUGAGCCUCUUUCUUCAGAGGUUCACCAGAACAGCUGCAGCACAGUGAGACUGUACUUGACCCACCCACUUGAUCACCCUGGGAUUUGGAGUCAGAUUUCUGUUAGUGACAUCAGGCUCCACAUCAUAAAACCAGAGAAAGUGACUGCACAGAAUCAUCUGAGCCUUGAAAUUUUAUUACCUUGUUUGCAUCAACCAGUUAUUCCUUUCAGCACCAAUAGAAGACAAAAACCCCUCCAUAUUGUUUAAAAUACCUUGUUUUUAUCAGGUCUGCGAUUGUGGUUUUCUUGCAGAUAAAGAAACCAAUGAAAAUAUUUAAA